AUUGAACGCUGGCGGCAGGCCUAACACAUGCAAGUCGAACGAGUGGCGGACGGGUGAGUAAUGUCUGGGAAACUGCCCGAUGGAGGGGGAUAACUACUGGAAACGGUAGCUAAUACCGCAUACCAUCGGAUGUGCCAAGAUGGGAUUAGAUAGUAGGUGGGGUAACGGCUCACCUAGGCGACGAUCCCUAGCUGGUCUGAGAGCAGGACGAGCAACACUGGAACUGAGACAGGGUCCUGACUCCUACGGGAGGCAGCAUUGGGGAAUAUUGCACAAUGGGCGAAAGCCUGAGGCAGCCAUGCCGCGGGUAUGAAGAAGGCUUUCGGGUUGUAAAGUACUUUCAGCGGGGAGGCGUACCCCGCAGAAGAAGCACCGGCUAACUCCGUGCCAGCCGCCGCGGUAAUA
rnacentral:rRNA from 1 species